UACGUAGGGACCGAGCGUUGUCCGGAUUCAUUGGGCGUAAAGGGCUCGUAGGCGGUCUGUUGCGUCGGGAGUGAAAACUCAGGGCUUAACCCUGAGCCUGCUUCCGAUACGGGCAGACUAGAGGUAUGCAGGGGAGAACGGAAUUCCUGGUGUAGCGGUGAAAUGCGCAGAUAUCAGGAGGAACACCGGUGGCGAAGGCGGUUCUCUGGGCAUUACCUGACGCUGAGGAGCGAAAGUGUGGGGAGCGAACAGG
rnacentral:rRNA from 1 species